UAGCGGUCACAGAGACACGCACCACCGCACACACACCGCACACGCCCCGUGCGCGCGCAACGGGUGACGGCGCGCGCGAUGAUUAACACACACACACACACACACGUAAACACGCGCACCUGGUGCCAAUCUUAGCACGCGCUCUAAGUAGUCAAGUCUUUGCGUUUUUAUUUGUUUAUUUGUGUUUCUGUGUGGAAAAACAGAUACAGAAAGUCUAACAGGCUGGUGUUUAUAAUCAGCUUAAAGUCUAGGGGUUUAUCUCCGACUCGUGUGUUUAAACGGCUAAUUAUUUGUUUUUAUUUGUUUUAAUAAACAACACGAAUUCUUAUGUGUUAAAUUUUGGUAAUUACAUUUCAGGCACAAGUCAUGUCGAAUUUAUGGACCGGUUAGUUGCAUCAACUCUAAAACACACACACACACACACACACACACACACAUAACAUGUAAAAUCACACACAAAGCUGAACCCAAGCCGUUUCGCUUACUUGCCCAUUCACUUACCUCUCUGCUCUCCUGCACGUGCUAUCCUACCAGAGGUCUCCAGUCAACUCGACCGUUCCUGAUAUCCUGUGUGUGCCGGACGAUGCAGGACGCUUCAGGAAUGUGGCAUCGAGUCACACGAGGGAUUAGUAAUCAGCUUACCUUUUACUGUCUUAUCGCAUACGCAGCGUGUGUGUGAGGUGGACGUAAGGUAUUUGUACAUGCUGUCCAGUAGUGGUGUUACUGCAGUUGCUGACUUUAAUGAGUGUAAAGUUCAGAAGCGACGUUUCAGUAUCUUUGAGAUUUACUCUUAAACCUACUGAACUUAGGAUCCUUGUACUUUUGAGUACAUUUGGGUCACACAGAGAUGCUGUGGAGGUAUAAGUAUUGCCCUCAUAAUUGUGAAAAAAGGACACAAUUAUUUAAACAUUAUAGGCUCAAGCAUAGUAGUUAUGCUAGAUUUGGUGGUGAUAUGGGGUUAUUUGACUAUGGGUUUAUACAUGGUUUGUGUUUAAUGGUUAUGUUUUUGUGUAAUUGGUUAUGUUUCAGGUUUAUUGUGAGUUCAACAGAGGGAAAAAUCUCAGAGGGGACUUAUUUGACUGCUUCUCUUCAGGCCUGUUGGACAUCUUCAGGAAGAAGAAAGGCCCAGCUUCUGUCUAAGCUUUUACAUCAGACAAAGAAUUCUGAACCAUCAGAUGUCUUUGUCUUCGGGGACUGCCAAUCAUUUUAGGGGAUGAUCCUCCUGCAUUUUCCAAGACCUGCUCUGAUGUAGCUGACAAGGGUGUAUACAGUCAAACUUCUGCAUCGACAAGGAAAGUCCUCAGCUAAACCCGUCAAGUUUUUGAGCACACAUUACUUAGUUUUAUUAAGGCAACCGGUUUCCUCAAAUAUAAAGUAAAUUCAACUCAUCCGGGUUUACAGUGUGGCGGACAGACGACUGGAUCAGAGCAUCUCCAAAACUGCAGCUCUUGUGGGGUGUUCCCGGCCUGCAGUGGUCAGUAUCUCUUAAAAAUGCUCCAAGGAAGGAACAGUGGUGAACCGGCGACAGGGUCAUGGGCGGUCAAGGCUCACUGGGGAGUGAUCCGAUCCAACAGACUGUUGCUCAGAUUGCUGAAGAAGUUAAUGCUGGUUCUGAUAGAAAGGUGUCGGAAUACACAGUGCAGGACGGGUCAGGGCUGUUUUGGCAGCAAAAGGGGGACCGACACCAAUAUUAGGCAGGUGGUCAUAAUGUUAUACCUGAUCGGUGUAGUUACAUUUAAUGUUAUGACUUGGGUUAAAGCAACUCUAAAAAAAAAAUAAAAUAUAAAGUCUCUACAGUGAAACAGAUAUGAAGUGUGAAGUGUAGGUAAAUGGUGAAAUACAGAGACGUUCAGGGGGUGGGGGGGUGUACAAACUUUUGCACCCGAGUCUAUGCUUAUUGGGACCAUUGUGUGUCUUUUAACAACAGCUUGAUUAAGCUGCUUCAGAUUCUAUCACACGCACACACACACACACACACACAUUCUUCAUCCAACUGGUUCACAAAGGAAAUUCCUCUGUGUUCAUGUAUUUCUGUGCGAAUCAAUAAUAUGACCUCACUUCCUGUCAUUCCAGGUUAUUUUGUGCCCACAGUGGACUGUUUACUUUACACGUCCUCCAACUAGCUGUGAACUCAACAUAGGAAGUACACAGUCUGUGUGUUUGUGCACGUGUGUGUGUGUGUUUGAUUAUGAACAUGUUUAUAUACAUGUGUGGGUUGUGUGUAGGCGCAUGUGUGUUGUUGGUGUAUAAUGUGUGUGCGAGUGUGAAUGGAGUUGAGGCUGGUGUUUAGCGCAGAAACGCUAAUGAGUACACAUGACAGUGCUAAUACUGUUUCUCUCUCACUGUGUGUGUGUGUGUGUGUGUGAGAGAGAGGUUGACAAAAACUGUUUGUUUGUUUGUUUUUCUGGCCCUGAAAUUAGCUCCUCCCCUCAGCUAAAACAGAACAACUCAGUUCUAUGUCUUUUCCUAAACACAGCUCAAAGGGCUUCUAGGUUUACUUGAGAGAUUUUUUGUUGCAUGUGCUGUUUGUCUCAGACAGCAGAGCUCAAAAUAUUAUAAACAGCCAUUUUAAUUGGAGCUUCCGUUUAAGGAAUACAACUCACAAGCUCAUAUUAACAACAUAAAGUAAUAAAUGUAAUACAAAAGCCUCUGUGUGAUAUUUUGACGGAUAUGUUUCUUGAUAAAUACACUAUAUUGCCAAACGUUUUGGGACACCCCUCCAAAUCAUUGAGUUCAGGUGUUGUUUUUCAGGGGUUGGACUCGGCCCCUUAGUUCCAGUGAAAGGAACUCUUAAUGCUUCAGCUUCAUACCAAGACAUUUUGGAUGAUUUCAUGCUCUUUGUGGGAACAGUUUGGGGAUGACCCCUUCCUGUUCCAACAUGACUGCACACCAGUGACCAAAGCAAGGUCCAUAAAGACAUGGAUGAGUGAGUUGGGUGUGGAGGAACUUGACUGACCUGCACAGAGGGAUAAAUUUAGAGCGGAGACUGUGAGCCGGACCUUCUCGUCCAGCAUCAGUGCCUGUGACGUCCGAAAACUUUUGGCAAUAUAGUGUAAAUUGAGAGCGUGACAUUAUUUUAGUACUUGAAGGUGUUUAUCCCACAUCUCAGGGUUCUUUUGCAUGAGAAAAAAAAAACUCGUUCAGUUGGUGGAGUGAAUCAACUCAACUUCGCUCACUCGACUCACUGCUCGAUUCACUGAUUCACUGAUUCCCCCGAGCCCCUGGCGGCUGAAACGCUUAAGCAGUGCGCGCGGAAUGUCAAAACCGAGCCGAUGCGUCAUGCAUCACGGGAGGCUCGUGGCGGCUCGAGCUCUCGGGCGAAGU